UAGCCCAAUUAGGAGUGGCAAUGGUUGU
rnacentral:piRNA from 1 species